rnacentral:rRNA from 1 species
CAGGGGGGGCAUUGCCCUAGUAACGGCGAGUGAGGCGGCAACAGCUCAAAUUUGAAAUCUGGCUCUUUCAGAGUCCGAGUUGUAAUUUGCAGAGGGCGCUUUGGCUUUGGCAGCGGUCCAAGUUCCUUGGAACAGGACGUCACAGAGGGUGAGAAUCCCGUACGUGGUCGCUAGCUAUUGCCGUGUAAAGCCCCUUCGACGAGUCGAGUUGUUUGGGAAUGCAGCUCUAAAUGGGAGGUAAAUUUCUUCUAAAGCUAAAUAUUGGCCAGAGACCGAUAGCGCACAAGUAGAGUGAUCGAAAGAUGAAAAGCACUUUGGAAAGAGAGUCAAACAGCACGUGAAAUUGUUGAAAGGGAAGCGCUUGCAGCCAGACUUGCUUGCAGUUGCUCAUCCGGGCUUUUGCCCGGUGCACUCUUCUGCAGGCAGGCCAGCAUCAGUUUGGGCGGUGGGAUAAAGGUCUCUGUCAUGUACCUCUCUUCGGGGAGGCCUUAUAGGGGAGGCGACAUACCACCAGCCUAGACUGAGGUCCGCGCAUCUGCUAGGAUGCUGGCGUAAUGGCUGUAAGCGGCCCGUCUUGAAACACGGACCAAGGAGUCUAACAUCUAUGCGAGUGUUUGGGUGUCAAGCCCGAGCGCGUAAUGAAAGUGAACGGAGGUGGGAACCCGCAAGGGUGCACCAUCGACCGAUCCUGAAGUUUACGGAAGGAUUUGAGUAAGAGCAUGGCUGUUGGGACCCGAAAGAUGGUGAACUAUGCUUGAAUAGGGUGAAGCCAGAGGAGACUCUGGUGGAGGCUCGCAGCGGUUCUGACGUGCAAAUCGAUCGUCAGAUUUGGGCAUAGGGGCGAAAGACUAAUCGAACUAUCUAGUAGCUGGUUCCUGCCGAAGUUUCCCUCAGGAUAGCAGUAACGUAUUCAGUUUUAUGAGGUAAAGCGAAUGAUUAGAGGCAUGGGGGUUGA